rnacentral:tRNA from 1 species
UGCCGGGGUAGCUCAGAUGGUUAGAGCGAGGGAUUCAUAACCCCUAGGUCGGCGGUUCGAUUCCGCCCUUCGGCACCCA